GGAUUUCGGAAAUGAUCCACAAUAUAGGAAGCAAAAUCAUUGUUACACAGCUCCAGAGAGUUGAGAAAAUGAACCAUAUUGGCAAGAGCAACAACUCAAUUGAGUCAACAACCAUAGUGCAACAAAAUUCAACGACAUCCCAGAUCACUGAAAAGAAGUUUCCAACAACUUCGAUAAAAGUACUACCAACAGGAAGUAGGAAUCCUAGAAGUUCCAUGACAGGACUUGCCAAUGGUUG
rnacentral:misc_RNA from 1 species